GAUGAACGCUGGCGGCGUGCUUAACACAUGCAAGUCGAACGAAGCACUUUAUUUGAUUUCCUUCGGGACUGAUUAUUUUGUGACUGAGUGGCGGACGGGUGAGUAACGCGUGGGUAACCUGCCUUGUACAGGGGGAUAACAGUUGGAAACGGCUGCUAAUACCGCAUAAGCGCACAGCAUCGCAUGAUGCAGUGUGAAAAACUCCGGUGGUAUAAGAUGGACCCGCGUUGGAUUAGCUAGUGGGUGAGGUAACGGCCCACCAAGGCGACGAUCCAUAGCCGACCUGAGAGGGUGACCGGACACAUUGGGACUGAGACACGGCCCAAACUCCUACGGGAGGCAGCAGUGGGGAAUAUUGCACAAUGGGCGAAAGCCUGAUGCAGCGACGCCGCGUGAGCGAAGAAGUAUUUCGGUAUGUAAAGCUCUAUCAGCAGGGAAGAUAAUGACGGUACCUGACUAAGAAGCACCGGCUAAAUACGUG
rnacentral:rRNA from 1 species